GAUGAACGCUGGCGGCGUGCCUAAUACAUGCAAGUCGAGCGAACAGACGAGGAGCUUGCUCCUCUGACGUUAGCGGCGGACGGGUGAGUAACACGUGGAUAACCUACCUAUAAGACUGGGAUAACUUCGGGAAACCGGAGCUAAUACCGGAUAAUAUAUUGAACCGCAUGGUUCAAUAGUGAAAGACGGUUUUGCUGUCACUUAUAGAUGGAUCCGCGCCGUAUUAGCUAGUUGGUAAGGUAACGGCUUACCAAGGCGACGAUGCGUAGCCGACCUGAGAGGGUGAUCGGCCACACUGGAACUGAGACACGGUCCAGACUCCUACGGGAGGCAGCAGUAGGGAAUCUUCCGCAAUGGGCGAAAGCCUGACGGAGCAACGCCGCGUGAGUGAUGAAGGUCUUCGGAUCGUAAAACUCUGUUAUUAGGGAAGAACAAAUGUGUAAGUAACUAUGCACGUCUUGACGGUACCUAAUCAGAAAGCCACGGCUAACUACGUG
rnacentral:rRNA from 1 species